GUGCUUGCUUUGGUAGCACAUAUACUAAAAUUGGAAUGAUACAGAGAAGAUUAACUGGUCCCUGUGCAAGGAUGAUAUGCAAAUUCAUGAAGCAUUCCAUGUUUAA